rnacentral:lncRNA from 1 species
AGAGUAAAGAUUAUCUAAAGAGAGCCGUUGAUCUUUAUCACAUUAUGAAGCAUCAGACAUACAAUAUGGUGUAGUCACAUUCAAAGUUGUGAUCCGUACGAUGUACAUCAUCAGGUAACGUACAAAAUUGUAAAUGGAGGCUUCGUGUUGCAUUGUUGAAAAAGUAUGGAUAUUUUCAAAUUACAAAAUAUGAGGAUCCUCAUACUUGUUUGUUUACGAGGUUGAGUCGAGACCACAAACAUAUCAGUA